AUGAGCUUCGCCCCACAGCAUAGCUCAUACCAAAACAAUUACUCAUAUGGGUGGCCUGAGAACCAGAAUAUGUCAUAUGGGAGCAACAACCUUGAGAUCUCACCGUUUGCUUCUAGUAAUCAUAUGCAGGGAUUUAGGUAUGAAGAGGAGAGCAACAACUAUGCACCACAACAAUUUUAUUCACCUCCUACUCAUAUACCUCAACACCAGGAGAUGUGUCCAAUGGAGUUAAAUGGUCCUCCACUUGGUCAACCAACAACUCCAGCACCUGUUGAGCAAUCUCAUGCACAAGUGCCCACACAAGAUGACUUUGAUGAUAUAGACAAGCUCACAUUGCUUAGUCUCGAGUUCACUUGGAGUGUUGAAGAUGAUCCAAUUAGGCCGGUGAUACUAGAGGAAAUGAAGAAGAUCAAGAGUGGAAAAGAGCUAGUGGAAGAAGUAAGGAAGAUUGAGAAGAACAUCAACGCUGGCAGUACUAUCUCUUCCCUCCUUGAGUUGAGUGUUGCUGGGAUAUCCCUUGAGGUGUGUGAGGUUCCAACACCUUCACAUUCAGCUGAGCAAGAUAGCAAGAGUCCAGAGGAAGAGAUACUUCAGAUCCAAGAAGAAAUUCUCAAAGCCAAGGCACAAGAUGAUCCAGAGCUCGAAUAA
rnacentral:rRNA from 1 species